rnacentral:rRNA from 1 species
AUGGCGCGGCGGUGGCGGCCGUCGCACCUUGUGUUCGUCGCGGGGGUGGCCUAUCUCAUCCUCAUCUCCCUCAAGUUCCGCCGCGUCCUCGACCUUGCCACCGCCGACCUCGCCGCCGUUGACUCCGCCUUCUCCUCCCCAUCCUCCACCGACCACCUUCCCCCUCUCCUCCCAGGCAGCUCGUCCUCCUCCAAUGCCACCCUGUUCCAGGUUCAGCCCUUCUGGCACCGCUACGACCGCGUCUCCCUCCCCGACAUCACCGCUCGCAACCGCUCCGCGCUCGACCGCAUGGCCGACGACGCCUGGUCGCUCGGGCUCACCGCCUGGGAGGACGCCGCAGCCUUCGCCGGGGACCCCUGGGAGCUCGCCGCCGUCGAUGCCGCCUCCACCGACAAGUGCCCCGCCGCCGUCUCCGUGCGCGCGCGGGGGAGGGUCGUCUUCCUGCCCUGCGGCCUCGCCGCUGGCUCCGCUGUCACCGUCAUCGGCACGCCUAGGCCAGCGCACAAGGAAUACGUGCCGCAGCUCGCCAGGAUGCGCCAGGGGGACGGGACCGUGCACGUUUCGCAGUUCAUGGUCGAGCUGCAGGGCCUGCGCGCUGUCGACGGCGAGGACCCGCCCAGGAUACUGCACCUUAACCCCAGGCUGAGGGGGGACUGGAGCCAGCGCCCCAUCAUCGAGCACAAUACCUGCUACCGGAUGCAGUGGGGCUCCGCACAGCGCUGUGACGGCUUGCAGCCCGAGGACAACGACGACAAGGUCGAUGGGUUCACCAAAUGUGAGAAAUGGAUACGUGAUGAUAUUGUUGACACAAAAGAGUCCAAGACAACUUCAUGGCUAAAGAGGUUCAUAGGGCGUGCAAAGAAACCGGCAAUGACAUGGCCAUUCCCUUUUGUGGAAGACAGGCUAUUUGUUCUUACUAUACAAGCUGGCGUUGAAGGUUUCCACAUAUAUGUUGGUGGUCGACAUGUGACAUCUUUCCCUUAUCGACCAGGGUUCACUCUUGAAGAUGCAACAGGAUUAUAUGUUAAGGGUGAUGUGGAUGUCCAUUCAGUUUAUGCUACUGCUCUUCCUAUGUCUCAUCCCAGUUUUUCCCUUCAACAAGUCCUUGAAAUGUCAGACAAAUGGAGGUCCCAACCACUGCCAAGAGAUCCAGUUUACCUUUUUAUCGGAAUACUUUCGGCAUCAAAUCAUUUUGCUGAACGCAUGGCUGUGAGAAAAACUUGGAUGCAAACUUCAGAAAUUAAGUCUUCUAAAGUAGUCGCACGAUUCUUUGUAGCACUGAAUUCGAGGAAAGAGGUCAAUGUGAUGCUGAAGAAAGAAGCUGAAUACUUCGGAGAUAUUGUCAUUUUACCAUUUAUAGAUCGUUAUGAACUGGUAGUUCUUAAGACAAUCGCUAUUUGCGAGUAUGGGGUCCAGAACUUGACAGCGGCCCAUGUCAUGAAAUGCGACGACGAUACAUUUGUGAGGGUAGAUGUGGUUCUCAGACAUAUCAAGAUGAACUCCCUUGGCAAACCAUUAUACAUGGGGAACCUUAACCUCUUGCAUAGACCACUGAGAACUGGGAAAUGGGCAGUUACGGAGGAGGAGUGGCCUGAAGAUAUCUAUCCGCCUUAUGCUAAUGGACCCGGUUAUGUAAUUUCUGGUGGCAUAGCAAAAUUCGUCGUGUCUCAGCAUGCCAAUCAGAGUUUAAGGCUAUUCAAGAUGGAGGAUGUAAGUAUGGGGCUAUGGGUUGAAAAAUUCAAUUAUACCAUGCCUGUCAGGUAUUCUCAUAGCUGGAAGUUCUGCCAGUAUGGUUGCCUCGAGAACUACUACACUGCGCAUUAUCAGUCGCCAAGGCAAAUGCUAUGCUUGUGGGACAAGUUGGUUCGUGGUCGCCCAUCCUGCUGCAAUUACAGAUAG